GCUGGGAGCAUGGGCUCCCCGGGGCCCUUGGCAGACUGGGGGCUUCUGGAUUACAAGACCGAGAAGUAUGUGAUGACCAGGAACUGGCGGGUGGGCGUCCUGCAGAGGCUGCUGCAGCUCGGGGCUCUGGUCUACGUGGUAGGGUGGGCCCUCCUCGUCAAGAAAGGCUACCAGGAACAGGACCUGAACCCCCAGAUUUCCGUUAUCACCAAACUCAAAGGCGUUUCUGUGGCCCAGAUCAAGGAGCUGGGGAGUCGGCUGUGGGAUGUGGCUGACUUCGUGAAGCCGGCGCAGGGGGAGAAUGUGUUCUUCUUGGUGACCAACUUCCUUGUGACGCCAGAACAAGUUCAGGGCAGGUGCCCAGAGCACCCCUCCAUCCCGCUGGCUAGCUGCUGGGCCCACGAAGACUGUCCUGAAGGGGAGACAGGGACACACAGCCAUGGCAUAAAAACAGGCCAGUGUGUGGUGUUCAAUGAGACCCACAGGACCUGUGAGAUCCUGGGUUGGUGCCCAGUGGAGAGCGACACUGUGCCCACGGAGCCCCUACUGGUCCAGGCCGAGAACUUUACACUGUUCAUCAAAAACACCGUCACUUUCAGCAAGUUCAACUUCUCCAAAUCCAACGCCUUGGAGACCUGGGACAACACCUAUUUCAAGCGCUGCCGAUAUGACCCCCGCUCCAGCCCCCACUGUCCGGUGUUCCGCAUUGGGGACCUCGUGGCCGCAGCUGGAGGGGUCUUUGAGGACCUGGCCUUGCUGGGCGGUGCGAUAAGCAUCCAUGUCCUCUGGGAUUGCAACCUGGACACUGGGGGCUCUGACUGCCAACCCCACUACUCCUUCCAGCUGCAGCAGAGGAGCUACAAUUUCAGGACAGCCACUCACUGGUGGGAAGCCUCAGGCGUGGAGGCCCGGAGCCUGCUUAAACUCUAUGGGAUUCGCUUCGACGUCAUCGUUACUGGGCAGGCAGGGAAGUUUGGGCUCAUCCCCACGACCAUCACUUUGGGCACCGCAGUAGCUUGGCUGGGCGUGGUGAGUGUGGCCGAUGUGGGCUCCCUCUGGCUGCAGACUGCGCGUGCCCAGACCCGCCUGCAUGCACACUGAGCCCCCUUUGCCUGCUGUUGAGUCUGGGAGUGAGGGUUGGGGAGGGUGGCAUGAGGGCAGGCUGGGGCCGGGACAUGGGUCUACCCUGACUCUCCCAGAUCACCUUCUUCUGUGACCUGCUGCUGCUGUACGUGGAUGGAGAAGCCCAUUUCUACUGGACAACCAAGUAUGAGGAGGCAAAGGCCCCGAAGUGACCGCCAGCCCUGAGCAAACAGAGCCGGCCUCU